CUUUUACCAUCUAGGCUGGUGUGUUCCUUCCUGGGUUUCUCGGUUCUCUGUCGUGUUCCCGGAGCCUCGCUGGGUGUUAGGGCCCAGCAUCGUGGAGGCCUUUCGGCUGUUCACGCUCCGUGGAGUGGAAGUGAGACUUUAGGUCUUACAACAAGUCAGAGUUGUACUGAGCAUGUAAAACAUAGGACUUUGUAACCCUACAAAAAACAGAAUUAAGCAAAAUAAACUAAAAUGAAACCAAGUGAAAUUUGACAGCCAGCUGACAGCCUGACAGCUGACAGCUUGGCAGCCGUGUGUUAGGACAGAUAAGAGUUUGCUGUGACAUGUGUGGAACUCCCCCCGACCGUGUGCCGUGACACAUGACUGCUGUGACAUAAGAUUAAGAGUUUGAAGUGAGGUAAUGCGAGUGUUGAGGAGUUAACUUAGAUAGAACAUAUGGAUGUUUUAGAUUAGAAAGGAUUUAAGGUAUAAAAGGAGAAGACUACAGACAGAUGACGUCGCUUGACGACUCCGUCAAGAUGACCUGAUGAAGUUCUGCCCGAGACGCAGGAGCUUCCGGACCUGGAACAGAGUGUCUGCAUCCCUGCUCUGCCCGAGAUGCUGACACGCUGUACCUAAUCCUGACUGCCGAAACAUCGAAGUCGCAGCUCGACCCUGCGAAGCCUGAGACCAGACUACAUCUACCAGCCGAAAGGACCUUCACGAUGCUGAGUCCUAUAGCCCAGUGAUGGCUCCGGAUGCAAGACCCAGGGCCUUACUUUGGGAGCCUUGAACAGCCCAAAGGGCCUCCAAGAUGCUGGGACCUAUAGCUCAGCGAGGCUCCGGGAGCUCGACGACAGCAGCGAGAGUCACCCAGGAAGGAACACAUCAGGUCUUGCUAGAUUACUUGCCAGGACCACUCCAGUGGAAUCUGCGUGACAAUGCCGACCACCUGGCAGAAACCGGAUCUGAGGUAUCGUCCCCUCCGGGGUCAAGCCUUCUGGAGAUCCUUGGCAUGCACAGCAUUAAAAGUCAGCCAAAGAAGGAAUUCUUGGUUUCUUCGCCUGCAGCUUGGGGACAAUGGAUUCUGUUACAAUUUUGAUUUAUUUUCUAUUGAUCUCUGUGUGUUUGUGUUUUUUGAAAAUGCCUAGUGGUUUUCAAGAAGGAGAAGGAUUAGAUGUACCCAAAGAUAUGGAGGAUAAGAAUGUCACUGUUUGGACACAGCCUUCUCAGUCAAAUAAUAACUGAACAGAAGGUGCAUUUGAGGGGAAUAUUUCUUUUAAGGAAAUAGUUCUCAGGAAAAUAGCAUGUAAUGUUACAGAUGUUACUGAUACUUCAUCAGAAUUACCAUAUAUUGUCAAACAUCUGAGAAACAAUGAAUCACUGGGGAAAAAAUGGCCACUGGCAUAUUAUCAACUAAGAUGGAAAGAAAGCUUAAACUCCUGCUAACUUUUCACAAUGUAUUCUAUAAUGAUGUAUUUGGCAGGCGCCAGCUCAGCAAGCGGAAAUAGAUGCCUAGAGAGAUCAGCUCAUUGCCCCUGACUUGCUAUAAGGAAAUAGAAAUCUGUAUAAAGGAAGCUCUUUGAAAAAUAAAUUUUGCAGCAGCAUUUGCAAACUUCACCUCGGUGUUAAGUGCUUUUGUCUGACUGUCAUCGCGGAACCUGCUCCCAC
rnacentral:lncRNA from 1 species